GACGAACGCUGGCGGCGUGCUUAACACAUGCAAGUCGAACGGAAAGGCCCUGCUUUUGUGGGGUGCUCGAGUGGCGAACGGGUGAGUAACACGUGAGUAACCUGCCCUUGACUUUGGGGUAACUUCAGGAAACUGGUGCUAAUACGGGAUAGGAGCACCUGCUGCAUGGUGGGGGUUGGAUAGUUUCGGCGGUUGGGGGUGGACUCGCGGCUUAUCAGCUUGUUGGUGGGGUAGUGGCUUACCAAGGCUUUGACGGGUAGCCGGCCUGAGAGGGUGACCGGCCACAUUGGGACUGAGAUACGGCCCAGACUCCCACGGGGAGGAGGCGGGGGGAAUAUUGCAGAAUGGGCGGAAGGCUGAUCCAGCAAAGCCGCGGGCGGGAAGACGGCCUUCUGGUUGGAAACCGCUUUCUCCUGUGACGAAGCGUGAGUGACGGAAAUGAGUAAAGAAGCACCGCCUAACUACGG
rnacentral:rRNA from 1 species